rnacentral:tRNA from 1 species
CCCUGGGUGGCUCAGUUGGUUAAGCAUCUGACUUCGGCUCAGGUCACGAUCUUAUAGUUUUGUGGGUUAGAGUCCCACAUCAGGCU